CUACCCAGUGGAUUAAUUUGAGCGGCCUGUUUUGGUGGGCUCGAGCGCGCUUCGACGGCCAAUUUCUCCCUUAAUGGGUUUUGUUGAAGCCAACUCAGAAUUUCUUCUGCUUACAGUUUGAGCCUAAAAGCCCACCCAAUAGUUAGGGGGAACGGAAACGAGUAUAAAUGAAGCCAACAUCCUGCAAUUCAAACUUUGAUUAUUUUAACAAAUUUGAAACUUUGUUUAAUUUAACUUGUUUACUUCUCAAGCCAAACUCAAAUGAGCUUUUAUCGAGUAUAACUCAGACAGAUUGUACUUUUUACAUGUAAAUUUUACAAAUAUACUAAUUGGUCGAACUAAACUUGAGCCAAAUUUGAAAAUUUAUGAAACGUGAAAUACUAUUCAAUUUUGAUUUGAUUAGUUGGUGAACUAAAUUCGAAUGGACUUUUACUAAAUUUUUUUUUUAUUUUUAUUUUGGGGGCCUCUUUAAGCAGAAAAGAGGCCCCCAAAAUUUUCAUAUUUGGAGGAGCAUGUUCGUAAUGGUGGUAGCUUUUUGCAUUUCAUCUGGUAGCAGUCCUUCUUUUCCUUGGCAAAGCAAAGCAACCAUUUUAUGACAUCUAACUUCCAAGAAAUCAGAAGGGUUUCUUGACGAUUAAAGCUACUUUGGUGUGAAAACUUUUGAAGUAUCUGUACUUGAAUCGGGAACCAUCUUUUUGGACCAAUGAUCAUUUUGAAGAAUGAAUUGAGCUUGUAUAAACACCCUCUUUGUAUAGCUUCUUGGAAGUUGGAAACCCUAAAUGUAUCAUAAUACAAUGUUUUCUUUUGGGGUUGUAAACGUACUACUAUGUAUAUUUUGAAGUGUUUCCUCAUGUUUCUGUGACAUAUUUUUGGGAAUGUACAUUCUCUCAUGUUAAACAAAGUUUACUUGUGCUUGGUUGGAUUGUAACGGGGCAGUUUUGAUUUUCGUGAGAACGUUGUAUCAAGGAUUGAAGGUAUCUUUUAAUUUGGCUCAA